rfam:Alligator mississippiensis ScZkoYb_28, whole genome shotgun sequence.
UGGUUCAGUGGUAGAAUACUUGUCUAACACACAGAGACCUGGGUUCAAUCCCCAG